UUAUCUCUAAGAGAGGAGACAUUUCCUGGC
rnacentral:sRNA from 1 species